UACGUAGGGGGCUAGCGUUAUCCGGAAUUACUGGGCGUAAAGGGUGCGUAGGCGGUCUUUCAAGCCAGAAGUGAAAGGCUACGGCUCAACCGUAGUAAGCUUUUGGAACUGUAAGACUUGAGUGCAGGAGAGGAGAGUGGAAUUCCUAGUGUAGCGGUGAAAUGCGUAGAUAUUAGGAGGAACACCGGUGGCGAAGGCGGCUAUCUGGACAGUAACUGACGCUGAGGCGCGAAAGCGUGGGGAGCAAACAGGAUUAGAUACCCCCGUAGUCCCUGAGCGGG
rnacentral:rRNA from 1 species